rnacentral:rRNA from 1 species
AUAUCAAUAAGCGCAGGAAAAGAAACCAACAGGGAUUGCCUCAGUAACGGCGAGUGAAGCGGCACCAGCUCAAAUUUGAAAUCUGGCCUCUCGGGGUCCGAGUUGUAAUUUGUAGAGGAUGUUUUGGGUACCGCCCCGGUCUAAAUUUCUUGGAACAGAAUGUCAGAGAGGGUGAGAAUCCCGUCUUGGACCGGCGGUAGGGCCUGUGUAAAACUCCUUCGACGAGUCGAGUUGUUUGGGAAUGCAGCUCAAAAUGGGUGGUAAAUUUCAUCUAAAGCUAAAUAUUGGCCAGAGACCGAUAGCGCACAAGUAGAGUGAUCGAAAGAUGAAAAGCACUUUGAAAAGAGAGUUAAACAGUAUGUGAAAUUGUUGAAAGGGAAGCGCUGGCAACCAGACUUGAGCGCGGCGGUUCCCCUGGCCUUUUGGCCAGGCUACUCCGUCGUGUCCAGGCCAACAUCGGUUCUGAGGGUCGGUCAAAGGCUCUGGGAAUGUAUCUACCCACGGGUAGACUUAUAGACCAGGGUGUCAUGCGGCCUCUCGGGACCGAGGAACGCGCUUCGGCUCGGAUGUUGGCGUAAUGGUUGUCAGCGA